UACAGAGGGGGCAAGCGUUGUUCGGAAUUACUGGGCGUAAAGGGCGCGUAGGCGGCCUUCUAAGUCGAACGUGAAAUCCCCGGGCUUAACCUGGGAAUGGCAUUGGUGACUGCACGGCUAGAGUGUGUCAGAGGGGGGGUAGAAUUCCACGUGUAGCAGUGAAAUGCGUAGAGAUGUGGAGGAAUACCGAUGCGAAGGCAGCCCCCUGGGAUAACACUGACGCUCAUGCACGAAAGCGUGGGGAGCAAACAGG
rnacentral:rRNA from 1 species